AAUAAGUGUAGUUUUACAUUAUUCAUGUGCAAUAUUUGACCAUUAAUCUUAUUUAAAAUUUUUUAUUAGUAUUAUUUUUUUUGUUGUUAGAUGAUAAAACAUGAAUGGUACUUUAUAUGAUUAAUUUUUUUAUUUUUUUAAUAAGACGGACGAUCAAAUAUUGGACAUGGAUACCCACGCCUACAUUUUUU
rfam:Oryza sativa (indica cultivar-group) chromosome 10, whole genome shotgun sequence.